AUGGCCAACAUCCAACCAACCAGAUCCAGUGGGGGAGGAACAGAAGGGGUCAAAACAGUUAUGUCCUACAGAAGCUUAUUGGAUAUCAAAACCUUGCUCUUCUUUAAAGCCAAGAUUUGGUCUGCAGGCGAAGAACGAAGUUGCCGGGGCCGCCACGGAGCUGUCCGCUUCGCCGUGCCCGCCUGCGAGCGUGUGCGCACAGUCACUCCGGCGUUAUGCUUAUCGGCAAAGCUCCCUCGGCGAGCAUCCUCGCUCCUGUGGCUCACAUUCUGGGAGGGAAGUUCUGUGGUGAUACAAGAGUUUGCGGUUUCUCUCCUGCUUUUGCCUGGAGUCCACGGCACCCAGCCCAGCCCAAGCCAAGUGCAGGCUGCUGUUGUUACAUGGUCCUCCUGGCAACUACCAGAUUCAGAUGCUGCUCACCGGGGCCUGCCCGGUGCAACUGGCCGUGGGAUCGUAUCGUAUCCCCUGAGCUUUCCUGUCUACCGCAACUGGACUUGGAAACAGAACAAGGGUUGUUUACUUUAUACAGACCUCAAGAAGGUUAUGAUAUACAUAAGAGGAGAAUGUAAAACUAAUGAUAAAUGCUAG
rnacentral:rRNA from 1 species